UAAGUAGAUCAGGUAAUCGCGGAAGAAAUAGUAUUUCUUCCGAGGAAAGUCCGAGCUCCACAGGGCAGAGUGCUGGGUAACCCCCAGUGAGGGUAACCUUAAGGAAAGUGCUACAGAAAAUACACAGCCCGGCACUCAAGUUUAAUAUUAAAGAUAAAUAAUAGUUCCUGCAUUAAAAAUGGCUGUAGGAUUAUCUGUUAGAAAUGAUUUAAUGUUAAGUUUGAGUGCCGGGUAAAGGUGAAAAGGCAGGGUAAGAGCCUACCAGUUGUUAGGUGACUAACAAGCUUAGUAAACCCCACUCGGAGCAAGACCAAAUAGGAAGAGCUGUGGUGGCCCGCUGAAUCUUCGGGUAGGUCGCAAGAGGUGUAAGGUAACUUACAUCCCAGAUAGAUGAUUACCACCCUUAUAAUUUAAUAAGGGGACAGAACUCGGCUUAUACGAUCUACUUAUCAA
rnacentral:RNase_P_RNA from 1 species